UAGAGAUAACAAUGAAUAUACUCUGUGU
rnacentral:sRNA from 1 species